rnacentral:rRNA from 1 species
AGCAAACAGGAUUAGAUACCUGGUAGUCCACGCUGUAAACGAUGUCGAUUUGGAGUUUGGGGGCAUGACCCUUGGGCUCCGGAGCUAACGCGUUAAAUCGACCGCUGGGGAGUACGGCCGCAAGGUUAAAACUCAAAUGAAUUGACGGGGGCCCGCACAAGCGGUGGAGCAUGUGGUUUAAUUCGAUGCAACGCGAAGAACCUUACCUGGUCUUGACAUCCAUAGAAUCUUUCAGAGAUGAGAGAGUGCCUUCGGGAGCUAUGAGACAGGUGCUGCAUGGCUGUCGUCAGCUCGUGUUGUGAAAUGUUGGGUUAAGUCCCGCAACGAGCGCAACCCCUAUCCUUUGUUGCCAGCACGUAAUGGUGGGAACUCAAAGGAGACUGCCGUUGAUAAAGCGGAGGAAGGUGGGGACGACGUCAAGUCAUCAUGGCCCUUACGACCAGGGCUACACACGUGCUACAAUGGCGUAUACAAAGGGAUGCGAAGGUGCGAACUGGAGCGGACCUCACAAAGUACGUCUAAGUCCGGAUUGGAGUCUGCAACUCGACUCCAUGAAGUCGGAAUCGCUAGUAAUCGUGAAUCAGAAUGUCACGGUGAAUACGUUCCCGGGCCUUGUACACACCGCCCGUCACACCAUGGGAGUGGGUUGCACCAGAAGUAGAUAGCUUAACCUUCGGGAGGGCGUUUACCACGGUGUGGUUCAUGACUGGGGUGAAGUCGUAACAAGGUAACCA